AAUAAUGUGCCACAACCCAGUCAAUGGAGAAAAGGAUGUUCAUAGCCACAUAGUAAGAAUUAGCUAUGAGAUUGUGUUCCAUCCUUUUCUGUUGCGCUGCUGGUAAAAAAAAACAAUGUUAAAAUAGCCUCUUUCUUGUAACCAAACAUUUCUUACUGGAAAUUCAAUAGGCACGCUUUUCUCUUGUUUGUCCAGAUAUGGGUAUUUGUCUUACUGCCUUUUAGUAGUUCUGAAAACAAUUUUAUCAGUAGUUCAAUACAUUCUUUUCCCAGGAGCUUGGGUGUAUUAUUGAGGUUGUUUCAAAUGCACUUAAUGUCCUCUCUAAUGGAUAUGUUUUAUUUGUUUCACAAAACCUUCUUUUCUCUUAGCCAGAGAAGUUACUUUUAUAUGCCUUAUGAGUGCUUCAUUGCUAUAACCUAUAGAUUAUGGCACUUUGUUAUUUCAUAUAUACUUUUAAUAUGGUAUAUGUCAUAUAUAACUUGUAAGUAAAGAGCGAUGAAAAAAUUAUUGCUUAUGAUCUCUUCAUAUAGAACUGUUAUAAACAAUGCAUAGUAAAUGAUAAACAAUACUUUAAUAAUUAGAAAUUAGAACAGAGUGGAGUAGAUCAGUUCAUCUGUGGCACUGAGACUUCAUAUACAAUAGUCUCAAAAAUUAAAAUAUAUCUUGGAAGUUGAAAUAUUCAUACAGAUAUCAGGUAAAUGUGGAAAUAUAAUUUUAGUAGAGUUCUAUAUAGUGCUGUUUGGCUAUAAAUCCACUGAUCUGAAGUUUCUGUGGGUAGAUUCUAAGUAUGUCCAGCACCUGGCUUAGAGAAUGGGAAAAACAAAACAAAACUACUCUUCUUAGCUUGCAAGGAGAUGUGAACUUCGUACUUCUGACCUGACCCAUUCCAGGAGAAAUCAAAUGUUUACUCUCACCAGUGUAAAACAUCUGGGUAACUCCAGUUUGAGAGACAUAUUGCUUUAGAUACAUGGAACCCUGAAAAUCGGUAGAAUUUUGCGUUUCUUUUCUUGAUAAAUGGUGUUGCCUGUAUUUUUGUCAUACCCAACAAUUCGCAGUCCUCAGCUCUCCCACUUUUUUUUCCAUUUAGUUAAAAUCGUCUACCUUCUGUCUGUUUCACAUAUAACUCUUAGAAGAGCAGAUGUCUGGAUUAUUAUCCAUAGUUCUCAAACACACCAAAGUUUCACUAUCAAACUAUAAUCCCCCAUAGAAAAUCCAGGCAUAUAAGGCUAUGCCUUGAUGUAGAAUAACUCCUGGUUUUCUAGUUAUCAUUUUCUUAGAACAGCUCUGAGCUGUUCUUGUUGGGCUCUCCUCUGGGGCUCUUUGAUAAAUCAGUUCUAGAUUGAGACUGACAUAAAGAGAGAGCUUGAGACAAAAGAUGGAAAACAGCUAUGAGCAAAAUAAUUCUCCUCUGAAAGAUAAACAAAUACAAGACAUACCAAGAAAAUGCAGUUGGAGUUGUUGCUUUCCCUGGAUGUUGUGGAAGAGUUGACCAAUAUAAAGGAGGGUAGAUUAACAAUGAAGUCACAUCCAGGGUGUGUUAUCUAAUCGACUGAAGACAAAUUUUAUAUUCUCUAUAGAUGUUGUCAAAAAUAAUGUUCCAGGAUGGAAUAAUAAGUAACCUUAACUGGGUCAUUUGUCUCAUCAUGCUGUUGACCUCUCAUUUAUUUAUUUCUCA
rnacentral:lncRNA from 1 species